rnacentral:rRNA from 1 species
UACGAGGGGGGCGAGCGUUGUUCGGAAUUAUUGGGCGUAAAGGGCGCGUAGGCGGCCUGUUAAGUCGAACGUGAAAUCCCCGGGCUCAACCCGGGAACUGCGUCCGAUACUGGCAGGCUUGAAUCCGGGAGAGGGAUGCGGAAUUCCAGGUGUAGCGGUGAAAUGCGUAGAUAUCUGGAGGAACACCGGUGGCGAAGGCGGCAUCCUGGACCGGCAUUGACGCUGAGGCGCGAAAGCCAGGGGAGCAAACGGG